GAAGUAAAUCAGGUGAUCGCCGUCCCGGUCUUCGACCGGGAGGGAGGAAAGUCCGGGCUCCACAGGGCAGGAUACUCCGUAACGCGGAGCGGGGGUGACCCCAGGGAAAGUGCCACAGAAAAGACACAGCCCACCCGGCCUCGCCGGCGGCAAUGGUGAAAAGGUGAGGUAAGAGCUCACCAGUACCGCUGGAGACAGCGGUAGCUUGGUAAACCCUAUCCGGAGCAAGGUCGAAUAGGAAAGCGAUCGAGGGCGGCUCGUCCGAUGCUUUCGGGUUGACCGCUAGAGCCUUCCGGCAACGGCAGGCCUAGAUUGAUGAUCACCACCCCGCCUCCGGGCGGGGGACAGAACCCGGCUUACGAUUUACUUCGGCC
rnacentral:RNase_P_RNA from 1 species